rnacentral:lncRNA from 1 species
GUCUAUUUGUGAGGUUUUAUUCUGAAUGGACUUGAUUUGACCUUCUAGCUCUCAUGAUACAACCUUACACAUUCACACAGUCAAAGCUAUGAAUGGGUUACAUUCCUCCUAACGAAGGUGAUUACCUUAACACUCCAAUAGACUUCUGCGCGGAGGUUCCUUUAGCUCCUUCAAUCGACGGUGCAUCCUCAUAUGACUAAAAGAACACAAUGUGCAGAAAAACAUGAGCACUCUAAACUGCAGGAAAGAAGAAAAGAAAAUGCAUCACAAAAUAUUUUUUAAGGAUGGACACAUAGUCCCCAGUCUUCACAGCUUGUACUCACAUUGGAGGAACUGACAAACUCCAGUCUACCCAGACUUAGAGCAUCUCUGAGAUAUCAGAUCCUGUCUGGAAUGUGGGAAGAGAAUUCUGCAGGGGAGUCCAAGGAACCCAAACAUCAAUCCACAUAACGCUGCAGUCCAGCAAAUCUCACUACAGAGAAAAGUUCUGGGAAGAAUGAGUUGUCAGCAGACAUUUAGGGGAAACAACAUUGAUGUGGCCACAAAAAUAUCUUCAUAACUACCGGGUCAAGCAUUCUCUUUGAUUUUUACCAAGGGGAAAAUAUGUAUAUAUCUUCUGUCAGAAGAAAAGCUUGGAGUGAAUAAAUCAGUUCAAGCAGGA